rnacentral:lncRNA from 1 species
AGUGUUAAGGAAGUACAAGGUAAGAGGAAAUUUGGAACAUGCUGUUGGGGUCAUGGUUUGAGGACAGUAGGAGGUGGAAAGGGAAGAAAGAAAGGUGAGAGUAGUGAUCACAUGAACAUUUGAAGUUAACAGAACUAGAAAUCUUGAGGAUUGAGAGCUUGGCUAUUCCCAUCUCUAGCAAUGAAUAUUUAUGAGUAAAGAGCAUUUUCAUAAGUGUUAGUGUAUAUGAGAAAUUCUGCUGCUACCACCUAAGGAUUGUUUCUGCUAACAGGGCUCAAAAUGGCUGAAUCAAAUAUUGUGUGUCAGAUAUCCAGCCUGAGAAGUGGACAGCAUCAUGUAGGAAGAAGUUCAGAAAAAAUGCCAACUAAGGAAUGAAUGCCAGGCUCCAGAAGAAGAGUGUCUAUGGACAGCCUCCAGCACCAUGCAUCUAUACAGAUACCUGAGGUGUCUAAGAUGAGUUCAUUGCUAUGUCUAUGGUGAAGAAAUGGUACCUGUGGAUUGCCUCUUCACUGCCAGAGGGGGCUGUCAACUACAGGGAGUAAAGUAUGAUUAUGUUUCUAAUUUUAGCAGGUAUCAGUAAAUGGUCUUUUUAACAUUGCAUAAAUGUACAUAAUCUGUGCAAAUGUUUUCUACUCAUAAUACAGUUGAGGUUAACCAGACUAAAGUAUACUUCUAGAUUACAAAUUCUUGUACAUUUUUUAAGUAAACUGUAUUGACAGACCAACUGAUGACUUCCACAAGGCAAUUUUUAAUUUUCAAAUAUUUCUAAUUAUAUCUUAUAAUUCUAAUUAUACCAGCACCAUCAAAUGUACUAAUGUAAUUUGCCUCAGUAUUUAACAUCAUACAUUCCCACAACAAUUGGAUGAGGAAAAAAUAUUGUUUUACCUAUUGUACAAAUAACAAAUGCAUUGCUACUUGACUUGCAAGAGAUAGCAGAGAGCACCAAACUUGUGUUUGUUACCUGACUGUUUCUUUACACCACCUUCUGUGCAUGAUAAUAGAAAGAUUUUUUUUUU